UUUUAUUUCUUUUAUCCCUUUUAUUUUAUUUUUCUUUACUUCAUUUCAUCUUAUUCCAGUUUAUUUUUCAUUUCACUCCAUUUUAUUUUAUUUUAUCUUCGACAAGUCAGGGUCCCCAGACCCACUUGUUGGGACGUCUUACAUGUGUGUGUGUGUUUGCAGGAAAUGAGAAACAGGUCAAGAAAGGCGAUUCUAUGCCGGCCAUAGGCCAAAUGGGGCUUUCCAACGUGAUCUAAAAGUGCGCCCACGCGAGCCAGCCCGAGUGUGUCACGGACCCACAUGAGG
rnacentral:lncRNA from 1 species